UGUAAACGUUUACAAUCAACUUUUGACUUAAAACAAUCUUGUGUUCACUUAACUUAGCUUAUCUUGAGUUAAUCAUAUUUAUUAACAAUUACAAAUCUUAGUGUUAACUCCACCAUUGACGGUCCUCAGUCCGUAUGAAAAAGGAGGAAGGGCGCUUUAGACAUUUUUCUUUUUUAGUUGAAGUAUUAAAAAUUAAUCAUGCUUCUCUUGGUUUUAAAGAUAUACUAUACUACCAUUGUCCAACUGUGAAGAAGUAGGUAGGUAGCCAAUUUUAAUAGUGCAGAUCUUUGAAGACCAGGGUGUGUAAAUGUGAAUUGGAAAGUGGCAACAUAUACCUAGUUCAGACUUCAGAAAUGUAGUUAGACAUGAGUUAUGGAAAUUGGAUUCAUUAAUUUUUGGACAUUCAAAACUAUACCAUACUACCAUUGUCCAAUUGUGAAGAAGUAGGUAGCUAAUUUUAAUAGUGCAGAUCUUCAUAGACUUGGAUGUAUAUAUGUGAAUUGGAAAGUGGCAACAUAUACCUAGUUCAGACUUCAGAAAUGUAGUUAGACAUGAGUUAUGGAAAUUGGAUUCAUUAAUUUUUGGACAUUCAAAACUAUACCAUACUACCAUUGUCCAAUUGUGAA